rnacentral:rRNA from 1 species
CGGCGGACGGGUGAGUAACGCGUGGGUAACCUGCCUCAUACAGGGGGAUAACAGUUAGAAAUGACUGCUAAUACCGCAUAAGACCACGGUACCGCAUGGUACAGUGGUAAAAACUCCGGUGGUAUGAGAUGGACCCGCGUCUGAUUAGGUAGUUGGUGGGGUAACGGCCUACCAAGCCGACGAUCAGUAGCCGACCUGAGGGGGUGAUCGGCCACAUUGGGACUGAGACACGGCCCAG